UGCCAGCAGCCGCGGUAAUACGAAGGGUGCAAGCGUUGCUCGGAAUUAUUGGGCGUAAAGCGAGAGCGGGUGGUUUCAAAAGUCAGAAGUGAAAGCCCUGGGCUUAACCCAGGAAGUGCUUUUGAUACUGUGAAACUUGAAUGUGGGAGAGGGUGCUAGAAUACAUGGUGUAGUGGUGAAAUACGUAGAUAUCAUGUGGAAGUCCGGUGGGGAAGCCGGGUGCCUGGCCCAACAUUGACACUUAGUCUCGAAAGCGUGGGGAUCAAACAGGAUUAGAUACCCUGGUAGUCC
rnacentral:rRNA from 1 species